UAGGGAAUCUUCGGCAAUGGACGGAAGUCUGACCGAGCAACGCCGCGUGAGUGAAGAAGGUUUUCGGAUCGUAAAGCUCUGUUGUAAGAGAAGAACGAGUGUGAGAGUGGAAAGUUCACACUGUGACGGUAUCUUACCAGAAAGGGACGGCUAACUACGUGCCAGCAGCCGUGGUAAUACGUAGGUCCCGAGCGUUGUCCGGAUUUAUUGGGCGUAAAGCGAGCGCAGGCGGUUAGAUAAGUCUGAAGUUAAAGGCUGUGGCUUAACCAUAGUACGCUUUGGAAACUGUUUAACUUGAGUGCAAGAGGGGAGAGUGGAAUUCCAUGUGUAGCGGUGAAAUGCGUAGAUAUAUGGAGGAACACCGGUGGCGAAAGCGGCUCUCUGGCUUGUAACUGACGCUGAGGCUCGAAAGCGUGGGGAGCAAACAGGAUUAGAUACCCUGGUAGUCCACGCCGUANCGAUGAGUGCUAGGUGUUAGACCCUUUCCGGGGUUUAGUGCCGUAGCUAACGCAUUAAGCACUCCGCCUGGGGAGUACGACCGCAAGGUUG
rnacentral:rRNA from 1 species